AAAAAAAUGAAGAUCGCUGGAUAUAAAAGUUCUUCAUAGUUUGUCUUUUGCAAGCCCCAUCAGGUUUUUAAUCCUUACAAUGGGGGGACCGAAUUUUCAAGGCCUUUGCAAACAGUUUGGAUCCAGAUGAGACGCCACAGAACAAACACACAGACACACAAACCAACCAACCAACCAACAGACAGGGCAAAAACAAUAUGUCCCCCGCUAUAAGUGGUGGGGGACAUAAAAAGUAAAACACACUGUUCAUGUAUCUCUUUAUUUAUACAUGCAUCAACUAUUCUGGUUAUGAAACCAUUUUUUAAAUAAUAUAAAAUGAGCAUAUAAAUUAUAUGGAAAAAAAUAUGUCAAGAGAAAUAAAGCUGUAAAAAUCUCA